rnacentral:tRNA from 1 species
GCCCUAGUAGCUUAACUCAAAGCACCGACCUUGUAAGCCGGAGACUGCAGCCUAACCCCUGCCUAGGGCU